GUUGCUCCUAACAAGCUAAUCCUCUGCCUUCAGCAGAUUUCCACUCUGCUGCAGCUAACCUCGCUUCUGCAAUAACCUGCUGUUCAGUACAGCUGAUCUCUUCCUACAGCUUCCACCUGCGGUGACGUCACACGCCAACUUCGGCUAGCGCUGCCGCUCUGAACUGCCACCAAGGAUUACCCUCUCUAAACCGCUCUGUCUAAGCGCUUUCAAAGUAAACAGUACCAGCUGAGAGUUGGCUCUGAGGACGUGGCUCUGAAUUAUAAGUGGCAGAGUUAAGAACUGGAGUUUAGAAACUGGAGGGGAAACUGCAGACCCCACUAACAGCAAUUACUGAAACCUGGCUUUCUUCCUCUGAGAGUCCUCAAUGUACUUCCGGGCUACACAGGGCAGGAGGUCAAUCAGGAAACAUGCACGGUAUUAAAGGAACAUAUAAAUGGUGCUUUCUGAGCUCUAUAUUCGUCCACUCCCUAUAGAGUCAAGGAUAUGAAGAAAAUGCUGAUGAUGUAUUCCAUAGUUUUCUUGCAAAAGCAGAACACAUUAAAGAAACAAUGAAAAAACUAGCAAAAUGGAUUUCAAUAGGAGCAGAAGGAUUAUUAGUGAUCAGUUUCAUGUUUACUCUGGGUUAGGCGCAUAUUGCACCCCUGGAUGAGUCCAGCUAAGUUUGGAGGUGAUGCUGAAAACAUUAUACAAGGGCUUCAAGCUAUUCAAGGCAUAUAAGGCACUGAAGGCCUUAUAGGAUUAGAAGAUGCCAUAGAAGCUUUAGUUUCCAAGGGUCAUUAAGGCUGAAUCUUCUAUGGAUAUUCUCAGAGCUCCCCUGUCCCAAGUCCACAAUCCAGAGAACCAUCAGUCACCACAAUACUACUGCUAGACCAGCUAGUGGAGAAGAAAAUACCUGAGCUUCAUGUGAACUUUAUCAAGAUGUUCUUACAGCUGUUUAUACAAAGAAUAGAUACUAUUUUAUGACAAUAGUAUAUGAUCUCAUGGUCACAAAUGGACAAUGAAAAAAACUACUAUAUGAAUUAUUUGUGUUAAUAAAAGGUUCUUAUUUUAGGAAUCAUGAAUAAA